AAGAGUUGAAAAACUCCAACCCCUGUGAACCUUACCUUUACUGUUGCUUCGGCGGACGACGGCCCUUCGUGGCCCGAGGCCGCCGGAGGUUCCAAACUCUAAAUCUUUAGUGUAUCUCUGAGGAAAAUAAAUCAAUAAUUA
rnacentral:misc_RNA from 1 species